rnacentral:rRNA from 1 species
AAAUUUGAUUUGGUUUUUAAGAAAAAACUUCUAGUUUUUUUAUACUAUUCCUAAAAUAACUAUAGUAGAAAAUUUACUUUAUUUAAUAAUAAAAAAUUAUUAAGAAUUAGAAAAAUAAUCUAGCUAAAUUUGUGCCAGCAGCAGCGGUUAAACAAAUAGAAAAAUUCUUUUUUUAAAAUAUUUAAAAAUAUAAAUUAAAAAAUUAUUAAAAAUUAAGGUGAAAUUUAUUUUUAAAUAAUAUAAAAAAUAUAAUUUAAAUUCUAAAAUUAAACUAGGAUUAGAUACCCUAUUAUUUAAGAGCUUAACAUUGUAAGUAAAUAAAAAUUAUGAAAGCAAAAAAUUAUGGCGGUAUUUUAAGCUUUUCAGAGGAAUUUGCUCUUUAAUGGAUAAAACACCAAAAUCUUACUUAAAUUUGUUACUUCAAUUUGUAUACCACUAUAAAAACAAUUCAUAACUUUAAUUGUUUAAAUUUAUUAAAUUAAAAUAUAUUAAGUCAAGGUGCAGUAAAAAUUUAAGAAUGAAGUGAAUUACAUUACUUUUUAGUGAAAAAAAAAUUAUAAUGACACUUAGGAUUUGAAAGUAAAUUUGAAAUAGGAUGUCAAUUUGAAUCAAGCUCUAAAAUAUGUACAUAUCGCCCGUCACUCUUUCACAAGAUAAGUCGUAACAAAGUUAAAGUACUGGAAAGUG